GACGAACGCUGGCGGCGUGCUUAACACAUGCAAGUCGAACGGAAAGGCCCUGCUUUUGUGGGGUGCUCGAGUGGCGAACGGGUGAGUAACACGUGAGUAACCUGCCCUUGACUUUGGGAUAACUUCAGGAAACUGGGGCUAAUACCGGAUAGGAGCUCCUGCUGCAUGGUGGGGGUUGGAAAGUUUCGGCGGUUGGGGAUGGACUCGCGGCUUAUCAGCUUGUUGGUGGGGUAGUGGCUUACCAAGGCUUUGACGGGUAGCCGGCCUGAGAGGGUGACCGGGCACAUGGGGACUGAGAUACGGCCCAGACUCCUACGUGAGGCAGCAGUGGGGAAUAUUGCACAAUGGGCGGAAGCCUGAUGCAGAAACGCCGCGUGCGGGAUGACGGCCUUCGGGGUGUAAACCGCUUUCGCCUGUGACGAAGCGUGAGUGACGGUAAUGGGUAAAGAAGCACCGGCUAACUACGUG
rnacentral:rRNA from 1 species